UACGGAGGAUGCAAGCGUUAUCCGGAUUUAUUGGGUUUAAAGGGUCCGUAGGCGGGCUAAUAAGUCAGUGGUGAAAUCGAGCAGCUUAACUGUUCAACUGCCAUUGAAACUGUUGGUCUUGAGUGAAUUUGAAGUUGCCGGAAUAUGUAGUGUAGCGGUGAAAUGCAUAGAUAUUACAUAGAACACCAAUUGCGAAGGCAGGUAACUAAGAUUUAACUGACGCUGAUGGACGAAAGCGUGGGGAGCGAACAGGAUUAGAUAAACCU
rnacentral:rRNA from 1 species